CUCAUUGCUUCUUCUCAUUUCAGGGAAAGGGAGAUCUGGUUCUGCUUCUAAUCCGGGUGUCACCUUGGUGUGACUUUGACCGGUGACUCACUACUCCAGGGCCCAAAUUCCUCCUCUGAAACCCAGGACUCCCUUCAGAACUCCAUUUACAGAGACGUAUUGUGUGGGGAAAAUGAACUCGUGCCAAGACAACGGGCAAAUCUGUCGAAUUAUGAAAUGCUGAGUGAUGUUCUAAUUCCCAAGCCGUCCCGUGGUGGAUGAAGCCGGAGCUCCCCAACCCUAGGAGUAAUCACUGAAUGGGUUCUGCCGAAUGUAAUUGUGCCGAUUGUAAUCAUUUUGCUCCAGCUCUCUGCCCCUGUGACAUUUAUUUCUUAGCCCAGAUAUUGAUCUAACAGUGGGAAAUUUUCCAUCUGAAUCCGUGAUGCCGGACCCUCCCCAAGUCCGAAGAUGUGUUUGGGAAAUUCUCAUUUUCCCUGGAUCACAGCUGAGCUAUUUGGCCUGAGGGGAACCGUGCACCGUUGGAGAAACGCCUUGGAUCGGAGAGAGAUUUUUCUUUUUUUGACCAUUAUGAGCAAAUCGGAAAUGAAUGUAAAACACAGCCUGGAAAUGCAAAGGCCUGUCAUUAUGGGAGAUAGGUGAGCAGCUCCUGUGGGAAAUGCUCAGAGAAUUGGAAAUCAGUCAAUCAAAACCAGGAUCGGAGACCGGGCCGUUUCCCCGGUAUGAAGACAGAUGACUUCCACAGGCAGAUUGAAAAUCAUUUAAGUGCUUAUUUUCUUAAUGGUUUUUCCUGGAUCCCAAUAAAUAGAUUCUGCAUCCA